AUGAGCAGUGAUGACACAUGCACGUUGAUGAACCCUUUCUCCAAGACCACGUUCGAGUUUCCUAAUCUGGUCACAGUUUGGCGGCGUGAGGCGCAUUAUGAAUCUGAUCCUAAGCAACUUUUGUACAAGUUGGUCACACCCUCGGCCCUGGACAUAUCACCUGAUUCCCUCAUUGCGGCAUUGACCAAGGAUGGUGGCAAUGGUACACUUUGCAUUAGCCAGCCACCGAUUGCCACUUACAUGGUACAGGGCAAUAGGAAGCCAUUGCAGCACCUAUUUGAUGUUGCCUUCUUUGAUGGAAAGUUGUACGCGGUGUCUGUCUUUGGCAAGCUCUUCAGCCUUAAGUUUCAUAACAACCUUGGUAGUAAGCCGAAGAUCGAAUGCGUAAUUGAGUCUUUGGGUGACUGUCGUGGAGGACCAGAAUGCAUUCCCAGAGAGGAAGUGUGUACAUACAGGUUAUAUCUAGUUGAAUGUGGUGGUAGACUGUUGAUGGUUAGACGAUUUAUUCGUCGCAUAGGCCCUCUCUCUAGGGAUUAUGUGUUUGAAAAUAUGCAGACUGGUGGGUUUGUUGUCCUUGAGGCAGACUUCCACUCCAACCCUUGCCGAUGGAGAAGGAUCAAAGAGUUGGGUGGGCAUGCUCUCUUUAUUGGCCAGCAUGGCUCCAAGUCCAUGCCUGCUAGAGAAUGCAGCGGAUCUGAAGAAGAUUGCAUCUACUUCAUUUGUGACUAUCCCCAUCCGAAGUAUUUUUCGAGUCCAUUUCGUGACUCUGGUGUGUACAACAUGCGAAAUGAGAGGAUCACGCCAUUGAUGUCUCAGACUGCAGCACCUGCACAUGAUGCUGGCCAGUGGCGCCCGACAUGGUUUUGA
rnacentral:rRNA from 1 species